GAAAAACAAGGAGAAAAAAAGAAAAAAAGGAGAAAAAAAGGAGAAAAAAGAAGUGUUCUCUUAGUAUUAUUAUUAUGAUGAUGAUUGCCUUCCUCUGUCCCACAAUUUCGUAACCUGUGGGCUUUCUUUUUCUUUUCUUUUCUUUUUCUUUUUUCGCCAAAUCGAUUCUCGAGAAGGGAGACGGGCAAGGGAGAGAAUGAGAGGGCGAUGAUGAAUAGAG
rnacentral:ribozyme from 1 species